rnacentral:rRNA from 1 species
GGAAGGAUCAUUACCGAGUUGAUUCGGGCUCCGGCCCGAUCCUCCCACCCUUUGUGUACCUACCUCUGUUGCUUUGGCGGGCCGCGGUCCUCCGCGGCCGCCCCCCUCCCCGGGGGGGUGGCCAGCGCCCGCCAGAGGACCAUCAAACUCCAGUCAGUAAACGAUGCAGUCUGAAAAACAUUUAAUAAACUAAAACUUUCAACAACGGAUCUCUUGGUUCUGGCAUCGAUGAAGAACGCAGCGAAAUGCGAUAAGUAAUGUGAAUUGCAGAAUUCAGUGAAUCAUCGAAUCUUUGAACGCACAUUGCGCCCUUUGGUAUUCCGAAGGGCAUGCCUGUUCGAGCGUCAUUACAACCCUCAAGCUCUGCUUGGUAUUGGGCACCGUCCUUUGCGGGCGCGCCUCAAAGACCUCGGCGGUGGCGUCUUGCCUCAAGCGUAGUAGAACAUACAUCUCGCUUCGGAGCGCAGGGCGUCGCCCGCCGGACGAACCUUCUGAACUUUUCUCAAGGUUGACCUCGGAUCAGGUAGGGAUACCCGCUGAACUUAAGCAUAU